AGUCAUCAUGGCCCUUAUGUCCUGGGCUACACACGUGCUACAAUGGCGAGUACAGAGCGAAAACAGGCAACGCCGCGAGGCCGAGCGAACCGCAGAAAACUCGUCUCAGUUCGGAUUGGAGUCUGAAACCCGACUCCAUGAAGGUGGAAUCGCUAGUAAUCGCGCAUCAGCACGGCGCGGUGAAUACGUUCCCGGGCCUU
rnacentral:rRNA from 1 species